rnacentral:rRNA from 1 species
AUAAACGCUGGCGGCGUGCCUAAUACAUGCAAGUCGAGCGAACAGACGAGGAGCUUGCUCCUCUGACGUUAGCGGCGGACGGGUGAGUAACACGUGGAUAACCUACCUAUAAGACUGGGAUAACUUCGGGAAACCGGAGCUAAUACCGGAUAAUAUAUUGAACCGCAUGGUUCAAUAGUGAAAGACGGUUUUGCUGUCACUUAUAGAUGGAUCCGCGCCGCAUUAGCUAGUUGGUAAGGUAACGGCUUACCAAGGCAACGAUGCGUAGCCGACCUGAGAGGGUGAUCGGCCACACUGGAACUGAGACACGGUCCAGACUCCUACGGGAGGCAGCAGUAGGGAAUCUUCCGCAAUGGGCGAAAGCUUGACGGAGCAACGCCGCGUGAGUGAUGAAGGUCUUCGGAUCGUAAAACUCUGUUAUUAGGGAAGAACAAAUGUGUAAGUAACUAUGCACGUCUUGACGGUACCUAAUCAGAAAGCCACGGCUAACUACGUG